rnacentral:rRNA from 1 species
UGGGGAAUAUUGGACAAUGGGCGAAAGCCUGAUCCAGCCAUGCCGCGUGUGUGAAGAAGGUCUUCGGAUUGUAAAGCACUUUAAGUUGGGAGGAAGGGCAUUAACCUAAUACGUUAGUGUUUUGACGUUACCGACAGAGUAAGCACCGGCUAACUCUGUGCCAGCAGCCGCGGUAAUACAGAGGGUGCAAGCGUUAAUCGGAAUUACUGGGCGUAAAGCGCGCGUAGGUGGUUUGUUAAGUUGAAUGUGAAAUCCCCGGGCUCAACCUGGGAACUGCAUCCAAAACUGGCAAGCUAGAGUAUGGUAGAGGGUGGUGGAAUUUCCUGUGUAGCGGUGAAAUGCGUAGAUAUAGGAAGGAACACCAGUGGCGAAGGCGACCACCUGGACUGAUACUGACACUGAGGUGCGAAAGCGUGGGGAGCAAACAGG